CGGCGACCUUACCGGAGGGGUCACACCCGUUCCCAUCCCGAACACGGUAGUUAAGCCCUCCAGGGCCCAUGGUACUGCGCGCGGAAGUGCGUGGGAGAGUCGGUCGUUGCCGGGAUU
rnacentral:rRNA from 1 species